GUCCAGGGUAGCCUAGUGGACAUGGCAUCUGCCCGGUAAGCGGAACACUGUGGGUUCGAUUCCCAUCCUAUGACA